GGGUCGAUGAAGAACGCAGCCAGCUGCGUGAAUUAAUGUGAAUUGCAGGACACAUUGAACAUCGAUAUCUUGAACGCACAUUGCGGCCUCGGGCAAUCCCGAGGCCACGCCUGUCUCAGGGUCGGUUGAACCUAUCAAUCGUCGGUCGUCCGAACAAUGCCGACGCAUUGGAUCGUCGAGGCGCGGGUGAACUAAUCCCGAAAGGGGGUUCGAGCGGCGGGCGGGGAAACCCGUGCCGUCGUCUCGAGCCGCUCGCGCCUCGUCGUCCGAAGACCAGAAGGGACCGCGCGACCACGCCGGCCGCACGUCCGAAGUCCGCUGGCGGACGGGGACGGCGACUCGGAAAGACCGGAUCGGCCGUCGCCCGCCGUGGCGGCUCGGUCGGCGUGGAAGCGAAGGACCCAGUGCACACGCGAAGCUCUAUCGGCGGGCUGCCGCUCACGCGGCGGCGGCCCCCGCAGACUUCGACCUGAGAUCAGACGAGAUUACCCGCUGAAUUUAAGCAUAU
rnacentral:misc_RNA from 4 species